rnacentral:rRNA from 1 species
UACAGAGGUCUCAAGCGUUUGUUCGGAUUCAUUGGGCGUAAAGGGUGCGCAGGUGGUCGGGUAAGUCUGACGUGAAAUCCCGCAGCUUAACUGCGGAAUGGCAUUGGAUACUAUUCGGCUAGAGGGUUGGAGGGGGGACUGGAAUUCUCGGUGUAGCAGUGAAAUGCGUAGAUAUCGAGAGGAACACCAGUGGCGAAGGCGAGUCCCUGGACAACUCCUGACGCUGAGGCACGAAAGCUAGGGGAGCAAACAGG